rnacentral:rRNA from 1 species
CGGUGAAUACGUUCCCGGACCUUGUACACACCGCCCGUCAAGCCAUGGGAGCCGGGUGUACCUGAAGCCGAUAACCGUAAGGAGUCGUCCAAGGUAAAACUGGUGACUGGGGCU